GAUGAACGCUGGCGGCGUGCCUAAUACAUGCAGGUCGAGCGAACAGACGAGGAGCUUGCUCCUCUGACGUUAGCGGCGGACGGGUGAGUAACACGUGGAUAACCUACCUAUAAGACUGGGAUAACUUCGGGAAACCGGAGCUAAUACCGGAUAAUAUAUUGAACCGCAUGGUUCAAUAGUGAAAGACGGUUUUGCUGUCACUUAUAGAUGGAUCCGCGCCGCAUUAGCUAGUUGGUAAGGUAACGGCUUACCAAGGCAACGAUGCGUAGCCGACCUGAGAGGGGGAUCGGCAAACUGGAACCUGGGACAGGGCCAGGCUCCUAAGGGAGGGAGGAGGAGGGGAUUCUCCGGAAUGGGGGGAAAGCUGACGGAGGCAACGCGGGUGGGGGGAGGAGGUCUUCCGAUCGUUAAACCCUGUUAAUAGGGAAGAACAAAUGUGUAAGUAACUAUGCACGUCUUGACGGUACCUAAUCAGAAAGUCACGGCUAACUACGUG
rnacentral:rRNA from 1 species